UACACAAUGUCAAUGGAAGGUUGGUCAACCUCAAUGGAAGGUUGGUCAUCAUCAAUUGAGGUUGGCCAACCUCAUUGGAAGGUCAGUCAAUGUCAGUGGAAGGUCGGUCAACCUCAAUGGAAGGUUGGUCAACCCCAAUGGAAGAUUAUUCAAUGUCAAUGGAGGUUGGUCAACCUCAAUGGAAGGUUACUCAAUGUCAAUGGAGGUUGGUCAUCAUCAAUGGAGGUUGGCCAACCUCAUUGGAAGGUCAGUCAAUGUCAAUGAAAGGUUGGUCAACAUCAAUGGAAGGUCAGUCAAUGUCAAUGAAAGGUUGGUCAGCCUCAAUGAAUGGUUGGUCAACAUCAAUGGAAGCUUGCACAGCAUCAAUGGAAGGUUGGUCAGCAUCAAUUGAGGUUGGCCAACCUCAUUGGAAGGUCAGUCAAUGUCAAUGGAUGGUUGGUCAACAUCAAUGGACGUUGGCCAACUUCAAUGGAGGUUGGUCAGCACCAAUGGAAGCUUGGCCAACCUCAACGGAAGGUCAGCCAACCUCUAUGGACGCUUAGCCAACCUCAAUGGAAGGUUGGCCAACAUCAAUGAAAGAUUGGCCAACCUUCAUGGAAGGUCGGCCGACCUCAAUGGAAGCUUGGUGAACCUCAAUGUAGGUCGAUCUCAAUGGGAGGUUGGUCAGCAUCUCAAGGCUGGCCAAUCUCAACAGAAGAUUUUGUAACCUCAAUGGAAGAUGCCCAACCUCAAUGGACGCUUGGCCAACCUCCAUGGAAGGCUGACCAAUGAGAGCUCUACCCACAGGCUUGGCCAGCUGGAUGCUUGACCAAUGGGGUGGUUGGCCAAUGGAAGGUUGACCAGUGGGAGCUCUACCAGUUGGACGCUUGGCCAACGGGGCGGUUGGCCAAUGGUAGCCUUGACAAACAAAACAUUGGCCAACAGGCGAUUGGCCAACUGGAGACUUGGCCGAGGGUAGAUCCACCCCCAGCCUUGGCCAAUGGACAAUUCGGCCAGCUGGACACUUGGCCAACAGUAGGUCUAUCCAUAAAUUUGGCCAAUGGUAGCCUUGGCCAACGACCCCCUUGGCCAAUCGUAGACUCGUUUCCCCAUAAUUUGACUAACCAACACUUGGCCAACAGUAGCCUUGGUUGCCCAUGGUUUGGCUACCUGGAGCCUCGGCCAACCACCGCCUCGGCUGGCUGCAGUUCAGCCACCGUGGCCAAUGGUAGCCUUGACCAAUUGUAGGUUGGACCACAGCACCACUGGCCAACCGUCGCUUGGCUAACGGUAGCCCUGGCUGCCUCCAAGUAGCCCAACAGCAGCUUUGGUCAACCAUACCCUUGGUCAACCAGCCAUAACCUUGGCCGCCUGUAGUUGGGCUGCCUGGAGCCUCGGCCACCAACUGCAGCUCUGCCUCUACUUUGGCCACCGCGUGUGGUCUUGGCCGCCGACUGUAGCUCUGCUCGUACCUUGACUAGCCAUAACCUCGGCCACCACCUGUCCCUCAGCUUGC
rnacentral:lncRNA from 1 species